AACGAACGCUGGCGGCAGGCCUAACACAUGCAAGUCGAGCGCGCCCUUCGGGGUGAGCGGCGGACGGGUGAGUAACGCGUGGGAACGUGCCCUUUUCUACGGAAUAGCCUCGGGAAACUGAGAGUAAUACCGUAUACGCCCUUUGGGGGAAAGAUUUAUCGGAAAAGGAUCGGCCCGCGUUGGAUUAGGUAGUUGGUGGGGUAAUGGCCUACCAAGCCGACGAUCCAUAGCUGGUUUGAGAGGAUGAUCAGCCACACUGGGACUGAGACACGGCCCAGACUCCUACGGGAAGGAGCAAUGGGGGAUCUUAGACCAUGGGGGCAACCCUUAUCUAGCCCAGCCGGGGUGGUUGUGGAGGCCUUAGGGUUGUAAAGCUCUUUCAGCUGGGAAGAUAAUGACGGUACCAGCAGAAGAAGCCCCGGCUAACUCCGUG
rnacentral:rRNA from 1 species